CCUACGGGGGGCAGCAGUGGGGGAUAUUGCACAAUGGGGGGAACCCUGAUGCAGCGACGCCGCGUGGGUGAAGGAGUGCUUCGGCAUGUAAAGCCCUAUCGGCAGGGAAGAAGCAAGACGGUACCUGACUAAGAAGCCCCGGCUAAAUACUUGCCAGCAGCCGCGGGAAUACGGAGGGAGCGGGCGUUAUCCGGAUUCACUGUGUGUAAAGGGAGCGUAGACGGCCAUGCAAGCAAGGGGUGAAAGCGCGGGGGCCAACCCCGGGACUGCCUUGGGAACUGUGCGGCUUGAGUGCGGGAGGGGAAGGUGGAAUUCCUGGUGUAGCGGUGAAAUGCGUAGAUAUCAGGAGGAACACCGGCGGCGAAGGCGGCCUGCUGGACCGCGACUGACGUUGAGGCUCGAAAGCGUGGGGAGCGAACAGGAUUAGAUACCCUGGUAGUC
rnacentral:rRNA from 1 species